GAAUAUUAUUACUGUUACGCCUACUAUGAAUAUUAAAAUACGCCGAAUCAUGUUUUCGGUGUCAUGCCUACAAAAUGCCGUGAACAUCCGCUUUUGUAUUCAGCGAGUGAUGCGCUGACACUUCGUUGCGCCAGCUGGCACUGAGUGGAGCGGGUGACCGGUCCAAGUCGGCGGCCCCGCGGCUCGUCAGCACCACUAGGCAGCAGCGGUCGAUGUCUAUUCUUUAUGUCUUUGGCUGUAGCUGCUAUUGUUCUUUAAUGUACUGUGGUGCUCUGGUGAUACCAUCAUGUUGAUCAAAACAUUCCUGUCAUCCAGCACCAACCAAGAUCUUUGCCACUGUGAUAAGAUGUGAGCUUUACAUGUUUUAGGUUUACUUUUGAUGCCAAUAUUUCAUGUUUACUUGGAAUAAAUAUGUAUUACAGUAUGGAUACAAUUGUCUGUGUGUUUUUCCCCCUGCAUAGAUAUGCAACACUGGU
ensembl:lncRNA